UAAGAGCAAGUGGCUGUUGUGGUAUUUAGCAGCUGCCUCCUUAAGCCACAACAGUCCUUUUUGUCACCUGCUUCGGGGCUCAAAGUACCACCAGAUGUUGUUGGAAUGUGCUGGAUCGAUUUUAUAGCUAUUAUUGCUUUUUUGCUGUUAAUUGACAGGCUCCUGUUUGCCAUAGGGCUUGCUUGCCUGAGUCUAGUGCUCAUUAGUGGCUGCUCACUGAACUGCUGUGCUGCUUAUCACCUUACUCUGCGGUGCCUGGGAACAUUUCGAUAACGGCAGUGGCAAUGUGUCGGGCUGGCAGAUGGCCAGAGCUGCUGCUGCUGUUCUGGACAGGCUGGAGCUCCAGUGUGAACUCGAGUGGAAGGGCCUGUGAUCUGUGGGUGAGCCCAUGUGGGAGCUGGGCACCCUGAGGCAUCUGUGGUCCUGGAUAAGGCCAUGCCAGAGCAGGUACAUCUUGCAGCAUCUGUGGCUGCGGUUAUGUCUGUGCCGCAGCAGCUGGACCUCGGAAGGGAUUGUGGCCCAAGGGAAUAUGUUUUUUAACUUCCUGGUGAGUUUUCUGCUGGAGUAAACCUGAAAGAAGUCAGAAAUUCAAGGAACUCAGCCCAAUUCCAACCUUUGCUGUUCAGUGUUACUUCAGAUGCAUGAAAUUAAUUGCAGGAUGGUUGCUGGAGGGACCUUCUGAGAAGUCUGGAGUGAACUUGGGCAUUUGAAAUGUUUGGUGAAAUUCUGAAAAACUCCUGCCACUGGGCCAGUCCUUUUCCUGCAAUGAGUAUGCAGACUCUUCUGACUGCACUUGUUUAGUAUGUGCUGAGCUAGGUCAACAAACGGCCUGCUUGAAAAUCCCAGGCAAGGAGUUUCCAGCAGACACUGGCAACUGCCCUCCUCAACUGGGGUCCAAUUUCCAACAGGAGCAAAGCCAAGCUCAACAACAAAGUUAAAAGCCAAACCAUGAAAAAACUGACUUCCUUACAUUGUAAAUACAUCGGAAAAGGGCAGCAGUUCAAAAGGGAAAACGAGCAAACUCUGAUUAUUUUCCUUGAAACUGAAUCCCAGGGGGUGAUUGUCCAUUGAGAUGCCCCCAGGAGAGUUGUGCUGCGCCAACAAGCAAUAGAGUUUGGGUAGGACAUGGCCAAGAGGCCUCCAAACUGUUGCACAACAGGAAUUUGGGUACAGCGUAACAAUUGGCUGAGGAAAGGGAAAACAGUUCUCAAAAACCUUAUUCCUCAGCUAAACCAGAUUCUCAGGCCAUCUUAAAGCUUAAUUUUGAUUCUUCAUCUGCGUUGGGUGGGGGUGGUUUUUCAGUGACGUGUAUGUGGUAACACACAUUGGAUGCAGUUCAAGUCAUCGUGAGAAAGUAGCUACAGGCAAAAAAUAAAAAAAAAGUCAUAAUGCUCUGAUUUAUAGUCUUGUUGUUUGGGUGCACUGAGAGCUCUGUUCAGGUUCUCCCACUUUGGAGCUCUAAAGGCACUGUAAAAUGACAAGAGGUCUUCAUCUGGCAAGUGCAAGCUCAGGGCAAACCCACCAUAAUCUUGGAAGUAACAAAAGGCCAGUGAGUAAAACUUUUCAGCCUUUAAAACCAAAGUCAAUAACAAACCUCAAUGGCCUUCAGAAUGGAAAGCAGAUGAAGUUGUUCAUCAGGGAGUACUGGGAGCAAUGGAGAUGAGCUUAUUUGUGUAUUGUAUUACUGUUAGCUGCUUUCCAGUCCGGCAUACACUCAGGAUCUCUAGGAUUUGGAAGCUGGGCAUCUGUGCUGAGGUUUCAGACCUCUCCCCCCCACCCAAAACAAAAAAAAUCUUAAAAGAAUCCACCUGGAUUAUGCUCUCUGUGGAGGCUGCUGUCAAUGGCCACUCUUCCUUCCAUUAGUUUUAUUACUGAGAACCUCCCCCUUCUGCCUCUUUGCUCCUGCUUUAAUUGAAGCUUUGCUAGCAGAUAGCCAUCAGAAAAGACAUCUGCAAUUCAAUUAGAUCUGUGCUUAAACUCCCGAUCUCUGUGAAACCGGCCGCUGCCAGAACAGCGUGCCCUCCAUGGGCUGGCUCGCUGGGGCUGCAGCCUGCGGUGCUUUGCACUUCGUCCCCCUCCUGCCCUGCUGGCCCUGCUUGCAGGUGCUUCAGACAGGACCUGUUCCCCACAGGAGGCUCGUCGGAGCUCAUUUCCUCUUCCUUGAAAAGCGGGAGAGAAGCUGGAAACUUGGCACCAUUGAGGAGUGGUGAAACCUGCUUUAUAAUGUACUGAAAUGGUUGCUGCAGAGUGGAAUCUUUCUGCCAUGGGAGGAGUGUCCAUACCAAAAGAAGUUGGACUUUUUUGCUGAUUUUGCUGAUCAGGUGUCUGAGGUGAGGUCCAAACAUUUGAGCACGCCAGGCCACUGAACCCCUGCAAGAAGCAGCUCUUUGGAAAUAUUUCCAUGACCCUAGAGGUAAAUAUUGGUCUCUAAGUGAUGUCAGGCUGGUCCCUGACACAAACCACAACCUUGUUUAUAAAUACUCCAGAAGGAUGUUACAAAGUGCUUCGGUGGUCUUGCUUAAAGCGUUUGUAAGAAGUGAUUAUAAAGACUUGCAAAAUCACAAGUGAAACAAGCCAGAAGGGCUUCUUUGUAGAAAAGAUGUAGUUGAUGAAAACCCCAGAUCUGAAGAGAAAUGAAAAGUGAAGGUGAGCAUGAAGAGUGCAUUUGGUUUGCAGCUCACUGCAAGCUACCCUGCCUUCAGGGAGAAGUGGCCCCCAGUUGAUAGAAGGGAAAACUGAAUACUUGCCUGGGAUGGGAGAAAACCGAAUGGGGGUCAGAGCAAUGCAGCUGAGUGUAGCAGAUGGGUUGGAGUGCUGUACCUGUCUGCCCCUGAGCACAGGGCUUAUCAAAGCCUUGGUGAGAAGCCUGCAGCCAUGGGCUCUCCAUCUGCCUUUCACAAUAUCGUUCUUAGUUGAAUCUUGCAGGGGAAGGCAUUAAGUCUAGCAGGGGUCCCUUUCUGUUUUAAAGAGUUGUCAGUGAGGAGGUUUAGGGCUGCUUUUCUACUGGAGCAUCCUCAAAGCCUGCGGUGUUUUAACUUGCUCCUGGACAAUCUGGGUUUUGGCAGGUGCAUGUAUGUGCCUAGAUCCCCCAGGCCAUCCAUGCCAAGCCUGUUGGAUCAGGAGGUGGAAGGCCUGUAAGACAGGUGAUACAGGAGCUUUCAGCUGCCCACCCACCCUGCCCUUCAGGAACUCCUCAUGAGGGUUAUGCCCCCAGCCACGGGUGAGGCACAUGGGGUGAGGAGAGUGCUGCGCCUCUGCACCCUGUAGCCUAGGGGGAAACACUUUCACUUUCCAUAGAUCUUCUAAUUUCAUCUCAGCAUGGAUGAUCAUAGGCAAUCUGGAGGUAAAAUUAGUAUGUGCCACAAUUCUCUUUGUGUUUCACUACACUGGUUCAGUGGCAAGCACCCCUUUAUUUAAAAAAGUUUCUUUUUGGGGAUGUGAAAGUACAGGUAUCAGUUAUUAGUAAUUUAGAGAAGAAAACAUUAUUGCAUCAAUGCUAAAAAUCUAAUGUAAAUAUAAAACACUCUGAGGAAGGCCACAGCAGUUCUCUACACAGUGAUGUACAUCCCAGGGGGAAAAAAGAAUCUUUCCAGCAAAGCCUGGCAGUUUGUGGCUGUUCCAGCUCCUGGAAGACCAACCAAUCUAGGGAAAGGUUGAAAUGAUGCUGUAUAUGAAAACUCUCAGACAUUAAUUUUCUUUUCAGAAAAAGAGAAAAGCAAACUUUAUUUUUGAUCUAAAUUUUCACAAAACUCUAUAUAUACUUCAGCGUUUGCCAAUGAAGCUACUUGCCAACAUCAGUACAGAGAAUGGAUAUAUCAGCUAUCAUCUGUGUUAGAAGCAAACCCAAGAUAAACCUUCAGUAUUGCUAAUUUCUGAUGACCUUAUUGUAAUGCCAGAUAGAUUUGAUGUUCCCAUUAAAAUGUGAUUUCCUGAAAUAAUGCUGCUCCUGUGAGGCUUGUACCUUCUAUUAAGAAUGAGUCAGCUUCUAGCCUUGGGUUUCUGGGUAAAAGAGCUGAAAAUAUCAACAAGCUGCAAUACAACAAGCUAGAAAUCAGGAAACAAAUAAAAGAGAAAAAAAAUCUAAAAUUGUUUUUUAAGAUUAAAUGACAUAUUUGGCCUGAAAUUUUGGAUAGUUUGACAACUCUGAAAUUGUGAUGCACCAA